rnacentral:rRNA from 1 species
GAUCCUGGCUCAGGAUGAACGCUAGCGGCAGGCCUAACACAUGCAAGUCGAGGGGCAGCACGGGUAGCAAUACUUGGUGGCGACCGGCGCACGGGUGAGUAACGCGUAUGCAACCUACCUUUUACCGGGGGAUAGCUCAGUGAAAACUGGAUUAAUACCCCAUAACACAGGGAUACCGCAUGGUAAUAUUUGUUAAAGCUCCGGCGGUAAAAGAUGGGCAUGCGUGACAUUAGCUAGUUGGUAGGGUAACGGCCUACCAAGGCGACGAUGUCUAAGGGGUCUGAGAGGAUGAUCCCUCACACUGGUACUGAGACACGGACCAGACUCCUACGGGAGGCAGCAGUGAGGAAUAUUGGUCAAUGGGGGCAACCCUGAACCAGCCAUGCCGCGUGAAGGAAGACGGUUCUAAGAAUUGUAAACUUCUUUUGUACGGGGGUAAAGCAGAUACGUGUAUUUGUUUGAAAGUACUUGUACGGAAUAAGCAUCGGGCUAAACUCCGUGCCAAGCAGCCGCGGUAAUACGGAGGAUGCGAGCGUUAUCCGGAUUUAUUGGGUUUAAAGGGUGCGUAGGCGGACUUAUAAGUCAGCGGUGAAAGACUGUCGCUCAACGAUAGCAUUGCCAUUGAUACUGUAGGCCUUGAGUACAUUUGAGGUGGGCGGAAUGUGUAGUGUAGCGGUGAAAUGCUUAGAUAUUACACAGAACACCAAUUGCGAAGGCAGCUCACUAAACUGUAACUGACGCUGAGGCACGAAAGCGUGGGGAUCAAACCAGGAUUAGAUACCCUGGUAGUCCACGCCGUAAACUAUGAUCACUGGAUGUUUGCGAUACACAGCAGGCGUCUGAGUAAAAG